rnacentral:rRNA from 1 species
UGGGGAAUUUUCCGCAAUGGGCGCAAGCCUGACGGAGCAACGCCGCGUGGGGGAAGAAAGUCCUUGGAUUGUAAACCCCUUUUCUCAGGGAAGAAGCUCUGACGGUACCUGAGGAAUCAGCCUCGGCUAACUCCGUGCCAGCAGCCGCGGUAAUACGGAGGAGGCAAGCGUUAUCCGGAAUUAUUGGGCGUAAAGCGUCCGUAGGCGGCGGGUCAAGUCGGCGGUCAAAAGCGGUGGCUCAACCACCGGUCGGCCGUGGAAACUGAAACGCUAGAGUACGGUAGGGGUAGAGGGAAUUCCCGGUGUAGCGGUGAAAUGCGUAGAGAUCGGGAAGAACACCGGUGGCGAAAGCGCUCUACUGGGCCGUAACUGACGCUGAGGGACGAAAGCUAGGGGAGCGAAUGGGAUUAGAUACCCCCGUAGUCC